GUUAGAUGAUAAAACAUAUUACAUGUUAAGUUUUUUCAGUUCCCCAGAACUUGCUGAAUUUUUAACCUUUCAGAGUGGAAGUUUAUGUCCAAUUUCUUUUGAAGCAACUUUCAGCUGUUUCUGAGAAGGAUGUGAAAAACUGCAGAAAUCACACUGAACUUCAUUUGAAGGGCCUUCAUUUGAUCAGAAGUGGAGGAGGCAGUGUUAUCAAGUGGAAAGAAAAGAGCCCAGUUCAGGUGACUUUGCUUCAGUGACUGCUGCCUUCAGUUCUUUUCUUCAAAGAACUGCAUCUGUGGCUCAGAGAGACUUCACACCUCACAUCUAAAACGAUGGAAUGGCUGUAUCUGCCCUUAAAGCUCUAUGUUAAAUAUAUAAAUAUUCAUUGUAUUUAACCUCUUAAUAUUUAAUCCAAUUUAUAAUUUUACCUUUGAAAUUAAAAGGCAUGUAUUAUAUGCAAUAAGGAUUUCAUAUUUUAAAGAGUUUCAAAAUAGGAAAUCUGAAGUGCUUCUGAAGAUUUAAGUUUUGCUGGAAAAGACAAUUUUCAUCCACAAUUAAAAUUCACGUUACUGACUCUGGAAAGCUGAAUAUGUAUGCCUGCUAGAGGAGUCAGUUCCCAGUUUAGAUAAAGAAGGAGGGAAAACCAUUAUUUACUUCCCAAUAAUGUCCAAAUAAUAACAAGGAUAAAUUUUAAAAGGAUACUUCAUGACUGUUCUUCCUUGUCUGAAUGCUUGCAGUUGAUCUUUCCCUCUGAAAGUCACAUCUCACUUUGUCUAAGUGGGGUAGCCAGCACCUUCACCAAAAGGAAACAAAUGCUCAGAUAAACUUCUUAAAAUUAUUUGGAAUCUUUACUGUUACAGAAAGGAAGAAUUUCAGAAAAAAAUUCUAGUGAUGAAGUUGAAGCUGAAUCCACUGAGCUGCCUGAAUCAGUUCUUACAGCACAGUUAAAGUACAAGGCUGCAACCUCUCAUUGUAUUCUAUAAGCUGUUUCCUUUCACAUAUUUACAAUUGUGAGCAACUGUGAAACACAGUAUUCAGCUUGCAGCAUUUGACUGUGAAAAAAAUUAAUUUCCUUCAAGUCACAAAUACUUAACUAUGCCAAGACUGCAUUUCCUCAAGUGUUACGCAAAUUAUGAUAAUCUCUUUCUAUGCAUCUUAGUUGUAUUGUUGUUUCCUUAGAUUCCACAAGUAUUCUAAGCACUUUAAGACAAGUUUAAGAUGCAAAUUUUUAAUCCAAAUAAUUUCUGUUAGAGUCCCUGAUAUGGCACAUAAGCUCUACAGCAGUAAAUGAUGUAGCCUGUCUACCCGUCAAGAUUGUUUUGGUAAUUAAUAUUUAUUUAAAAAACAUAUAAGCUGACUUAAAACAACACCAGGUAUUUUAUGUUGGAUUGAAAAUGUGCAUUUCAAGAUGGCAUAGCUGGCUAAAUAGCUAAGGGUGAAAGGAAUUGCAGGAAUUUGUAAAUGUGGGGGAUAUGAAAGGAGUUGGAAAUGUCAGACAGAGCCCUGGGAAUAUAUAAGGAAUUCCUUUCUGACAAUCUGUCAUUACAGUGGGCAGAUACUGUUUUACAGAAUUGCAUUUUUGAGGCAAAGAAGCUGCCUUAACCUGGGUAAAAACAAAAUUGUAACGGUGUGCUUUUCUUUGAAGUAAAAAAAACCCAAUGUGCAUGGUCAGAUAUUUUGGCUUUGAAAAGAGGUUUGAAUACCUUUAGUUUUCACUGCAUUUUGAUGAUAGUUACAUACAUUAAUGCUUAUUUCAUUUGUAGCUGUGUGGAGUAAAAAAGUUCUUUAACUUGAAAUAAAUACAUGAACAAAAAGCAUUCCAGAUUAA